AGAAUCAACGCUGGCGGCGUGCCUAACACAUGCAAGUCGCACGAGAAAGGGACUUCGGUCCUGAGUACAGUGGCGCACGGGUGAGUAACACGUGAAUAAUCUACCUCCGAGUGGGGAAUAACUGAGAGAGAUCUUAGCUAAUACCGCAUAACACUUACGAGUCAAAGCAGCAAUGCGCUUGGAGAGGAGUUCGCGGCAGAUUAGUUAGUUGGCGGGGUAAUGGCCCACCAAGACGAUGAUCUGUA
rnacentral:rRNA from 1 species